rnacentral:rRNA from 1 species
UACGUAGGGGGGCAAGCGUUGUCCGGAAUUAUUGGGCGUAAAGAGCGCGUAGGCGGUCCGGUAAGUCGGCUGUGAAAGUCAAGGGCUCAACCCUUGAAAGCCGGCCGAUACUGUCGGACUAGAGUCCGGAAGAGGCGAGUGGAAUUCCCGGUGUAGCGGUGAAAUGCGCAGAUAAUCGGGAGGAACACCAAUGGCGAAGGCAGCUCGCUGGGACGGUACGUGA